GAAUUUUCGAAUGACUGCUGUCAAAAGUAAUUUCGACUUGCUCAGACCGAUUUUCUUCAGUCCUCCAUUUGAUCUCCCACAGUGAGCACACCUAACUCCUUUCGGUUGUCAAGGUUUUAUUUCGAUUCCGUUUGUAAAAAUUUCUAAAAACUCCAAAAUCAUGUAUAUGUACGUUAAUCCAAAUUACGUCUUGGUGGGGGGCCCCUGUUGCGGCGGCUGUGGUCCCUGCGGUGGGUGUGGCCCAUGCUGCGGUCCUUGCGGCGGAUGCGGUCCUUGCGGAGGAUGUGGACCUUGCUGCGGCGGCCUCACCAGCUUUUGCGGUUGCGGUCCUUGCUGCUAAGCCACAUGGCAGGGAAUCAGAAUGGAACUCUUGACGCUGCCGAUUAAAAAUCGAAAAUUAAAAUGUGUGGGAGACAAAAAAAAAA